rnacentral:rRNA from 1 species
GAUGAACGCUGGCGGCGUGCCUAACACAUGCGAGUCGAACGGAGAUUACGGACGGAAGUUUUCGGAUGGAAGCCUGUAAUUCUUAGUGGCGGACGGGUGAGUAACGCGUGCGCAACCUGCCCUAUACAGGGGGAUAGCAGCUGGAAACGGCUGGUAAGACCGCAUAAGUCGGUUAAAUCGCAUGAUUUGAUCGGGAAAUGAGCAAUCAGGUAUAGGAUGGGCCCGCGUCUGAUUAGCCAGUUGGCAGGGUAAAAGCCUACCAAAGCGACGAUCGGUAGCCGGACGGAGAGGUCGGGCGGCCACAUUGGGGCUGAGCCACGGCCCCAACUCCGACGGGAGGCAGUAGUGGAGGAUAUUGCACGAUGGAGGAAACUCUGAUGCAGCGACGCCGGGUGAGUGAAGGAGUAUUUCGGUAUGUAAAGCUCUAUCAGCAGGGAAGAUGGUGACGGUACCUGACGAAGAAGCCCCGGCUAACUACGUG